GUGGGGAAUAUUGCGCAAUGGGCGAAAGCCUGACGCAGCGACGCCGCGUGAGGGAUGACGGCCUUCGGGUUGUAAACCUCUUUCAGUAGGGACGAAGCGAAAGUGACGGUACCUACAGAAGAAGCACCGGCCAACUACGUGCCAGCAGCCGCGGUAAUACGUAGGGUGCAAGCGUUGUCCGGAAUUAUUGGGCGUAAAGAGCUCGUAGGCGGUCUGUCACGUCGGCUGUGAAAACCCGAGGCUCAACCUCGGGCCUGCAGUCGAUACGGGCAAACUAGAGUACUGCAGGGGAGACUGGAAUUCCUGGUGUAGCGGUGAAAUGCGCAGAUAUCAGGAGGAACACCGGUGGCGAAGGCGGGUCUCUGGGCAGUAACUGACGCUGAGGAGCGAAAGCGUGGGGAGCGAACAGGAUUAGAUACCCUGGUAGUCCACGCCGUAAACGUUGGGCGCUAGAUGUGGGGCUCAUUCCACGAGUUCCGUGUCGCAGCUAACGCAUUAAGCGCCCCGCCUGGGGAGUACGGCCGCAAGGC
rnacentral:rRNA from 1 species